ensembl:lncRNA
GUGUGGAGCUCUGGGUUAUAUCUGAUGGGCUACAUUUUCUCUUUGUUUUGCGAAUGGAACAUUUCAAGCACUAUGCUACUCUAGAUAGGUUAACGUGCAUUCAUCGGGUAUACAUUUGUUACCCCAAACGACUAGUUAGAGAUGGGUCAUCUAAGUUGUUAUUGUUUUUCAUAUCCUGUUUUGUUGGGUUGCCUCAUCCAUCUCAAAAAUCAUCAGGUCAGCAUGGGGGUAGAGAAUAUCUAAAAGCCUUGAGACCUGUUCAGACCUAUCGCUGUCUCACAUUUUCUCGCCAACACACACAAACACACACACACACACACACAUUAUUUGUAUUUAUUUUGUAUCAUAAACUAGCUCAGACAAGACCCGAAAAAAAUUAAUCAAACUGAUGACGCACCUCAAAAUAUUUUGUUUGGCUAAAAUGAAAUGAUUACAAAUACUUCACUAAGCAAAGGUGCCUCCCUAAAGACCAAUUUGGAAUGAUUUGUUGUCCCAGUGUACGGCAGUCUGGGGGUGAGGUUAUAUAAAGGAGGUCUGAGGAGGAGAUUGGGCAUUCCUCUGAAACACCCGAGACACAUCACGAAGAGGUCAACCUGGUGCCGUGUCCACUGCUGCCAUCAUCAUGUCCAAACUGAUCUGUGGGCUUCUCCUCCUGGUCGUCGUGGUGUCCUUUUGGUGCGACAACAGAGGUGAAUAUGGUACCAUAUACUGCUGGCUAUGGUGUUUUUCACACCUUCUGCUUUACACUGUCUCUGCUUCCAAAUGGGUUCCGAGGAACAUGCGGAGGUGCUGGUGCAAAGAGAACUGCCACAAGUCAUCGUCUCCAAAAACCGAUGUGGAAAAACUGAGAUUUCGGAAAUGCCUUUGCUUCCAACAUCAUCUGCUUAAAUUCAAGGACAUGUCUGUCUUGGACAUCCAGAAGAAAUGCAAUCACACGCCAAAAUAUCCCAUUCCGAGCAAUCCCAUCGGAUUCCUGUGAGGAUGAAAGGGCUCCCUUUAUCUCUCUGUGCUGUUAGAAAUCGGCCGUUUCGUAUAGUGGUUGUAAUAAUUAGAUUACCCGUUUGUCAAGGGAGAGAGAAAUUAUAUUAUUUAUUGCAGCAUUAGAAAGUCUUGUUCAUGAGGUUACGGACCUGGUCUUCCUUACACAACCUCAAUCUCAUCUCACUCAAUCUAUUCUCACUGUAAUGUUGGUUACAAGCUGAUAUAUACAUUGAAGGGGGUGUCUACCUAGCAAAGAUCAGGUUUCCAAGACAGUUACCUCCAUGCCAAAUGGUCAAUGUAAACAUUCCUGUGGUUAGUAGAGCACAACCUACAGAGAGAUAAUCUACACAGAGAUGUUUCUGUUGUUCUCAUUAUCUAGGCGCAUUCACCUACAAUGAAACGUACAUUCACAUUGUAAUUGUUAAUGCUCAGAUACCACAAUGCCUUUCUGUCAAAUCCUUUUAAAUCAUUGUUAUACCUGCAGCAUUGAUUGAAAUAUGUAAAUUAAAUAAAGGUUUUCACCAUAUUGUCAAUGUAUUUGUGUUGAUCCACCAGCUUUGUAGACAAUAUUUACAUCUGCAAGUAGAAAAGAAUAUUGUACUCCGUAUGCAAAUAAAUGAUAAAGCAUCCACU